UACGUAGGUGGCAAGCGUUGUCCGGAUUUAUUGGGUUUAAAGGGUGCGUAGGCGGCCUAUUAAGUCAGUGCUGAAAUAUCCCGGCUUAACCGGGAGGGUGGCAUUGAUACUGAUGGGCUUGAGUAAAGUUGAGGUAGGCGGAAUUGACGGUGUAGCGGUGAAGUGCUUAGAUAUCGUCAAGAACACCUAUUGCGAAGGCAGCUUACUAAGCUUUAACUGACGCUGAUGCACGAAAGUGUGGGGAUCAAACAGG
rnacentral:rRNA from 1 species